ACUUCGCUCGCAGUUUCUCUAGCGCGAACGGGGAAAAGCCUACCGCUAAAUAAUAAUAAUCAAUUAAAAAAAAAAAAUCUUUUCUGCUCAUCGCUCUGCUCUCCUCUCGGGCAAAUCGCCUCUCAACCGAAUCGCCCCUCCUCAUCUCCUUCUCCAUCGCGGAUUGCCCCUCGCUAAUCCCCUCCACCAGGCCCUAGAUCUCUCGAACUUUCUAGAUCCUCGAAAGCCUAGAUUUCUUCGAUUUCGCGAACGAGGUCGAUUUGAUACCAUGAAAACCCAGCGAUCCCCUCGACCCUCUGUCCUCAUCCGAUCUCUAAUAAAGGGAAAAUUCUGAAGAAGUUGAAUAUGGAAGAUAACUAAUGCUUUGAGAGUACUAGUUAGACUGAAUGCAUUGACAAAUAGCAAUGUUGUCAAGUGCCAAACUGCGAUCACUCUGCAUUGGAUGCAGAAACUCACCCGAGUUCAAGCACAUGUUCGCUCGAUGUGAACCAGAAUGUUGGAGGAAAAUCAGAAUUGUCAAAUAAAUAUCAGACAAGUAUGGAACAGUAAGUGGACCUUCCAUUGCAUUCUCUUGCAAUAGCGAGGAUAUGAAUCCUAGAACAAUGACUGGAACCCUUGACUUUGCGUUACAUCGCGCUAUCUACUGGAGGACUUUGACUUGUAUGGUCACCAGAAUGCAUGGAGCUCUGUUUUUUCAAAAACCAGUUCAUGUUUCCAUUAAUAAGUGAUUGAAUUAUUGGUAUAUUAUCAAAGCAAUAUGUGAAGAUCUUGCAUUUCUUUUUAAUUUUGCAGACAAAGAUGAAUGACAUGGUAGCAAAUAUCACCAAGACUUUUAAGAAUCCGGGUCUGAGUCGAGGACGCAGGAUGAGGUUGAGCUUCAUAUAUUGAGAAUGUGCUUAGUGUGAGAAUGUGUAAUAUGUUUCGAGUUAGUGUUGCAGGUGUUGUCCCUAAGAAGAAGGAAGCUAAGAAAAACUUAGCACACGUUUAAUCUAGAAAAGAUGAUGAGUUAAGCUUGGUUUCUUGAGUGUAAAAACUAUGGUUUUCAAUACUGCAAAUUGGAAAAUUCAUAUGCAUAAUUGUAAAACUGUGAUUUUCAAUACUGUGGUUUCUUGACUGUAAAACUGUGGUUUUCAAUACUGCAUUUUAGUAGUU